rnacentral:rRNA from 1 species
GAUGAACGCUAGCUACAGGCUUAACACAUGCAAGUCGAGGGGAAACGACAUCGAAAGCUUGCUCUUGAUGGGCGUCGACCGGCGCACGGGUGAGUAACGCGUAUCCAACCUGCCCAUCACUUGGGGAUAACCUUGCGAAAGUAAGACUAAUACCCAAUGAUAUCUCUAGAAGACAUCUGAAAGAGAUUAAAGAUUUAUCGGUGAUGGAUGGGGAUGCGUCUGAUUAGCUUGUUGGCGGGGUAACGGCCCACCAAGGCAACGAUCAGUAGGGGUUCUGAGAGGAAGGUCCCCCACAUUGGAACUGAGACACGGUCCAAACUCCUACGGGAGGCAGCAGUGAGGAAUAUUGGUCAAUGGGCGAGAGCCUGAACCAGCCAAGUAGCGUGCAGGAAGACGGCCCUAUGGGUUGUAAACUGCUUUUAUAAGGGAAUAAAGUGAGAGUCGUGACUCUUUUUGUAUGUACCUUAUGAAUAAGGACCGGCUAAUUCCGUG